GUAUUGUAUGAAAGGAGAGAAUGUUAGCUCUCCCCUUGACAAGGAUGGAAGAAGCUUCAGCCUGCAACACACAUAUGGUUAAGGCAUUGCCACCUAUUUCAUGGCAUCUAACCACCAUUCUUA
ensembl:snRNA